GACGAACGCUGGCGGCGUGCUUAACACAUGCGAGUCGAACGGAAAGGCCCUGCCUUUGUGGGGUGCUCGAGUGGCGAACGGGUGAGUGACACGUGAGUAACCUGCCCUUGACUUUGGGAUAACUUCAGGAAACUGGGGCUAAUACCGGAUAGGAGCUCCUGCUGCAUGGUGGGGGUUGGAAAGUUUCGGCGGUUGGGGAUGGACUCGCGGCUUAUCAGCUUGUUGGUGGGGUAGUGGCUUACCAAGGCUUUGACGGGUAGCCGGCCUGAGAGGGUGACCGGCCACAUUGGGACUGAGAUACGGCCCAGACUCCUACGGGAGGCAGCAGUGGGGAAUAUUGCACAAUGGGCGGAAGCCUGAUGCAGCAACGCCGCGUGCGGGAUGACGGCCUUCGGGUUGUAAACCGCUUUCGCCUGUGACGAAGCGUGAGUGACGGUAAUGGGUAAAGAAGCACCGGCUAACUACGUG
rnacentral:rRNA from 1 species